CAGGUUCCAGGCGAAGCUCCCUUUUUCUCAUCGGGCAGCAGAGCCCAGCUGCUGCAUGGUGAUCGAGCUUACCCACCCAAGGCACCGUGGUAACUGUUUGCCUGUCAGCUCAAUAGCACGAGGAGUCUGAGUAGCCAACAGCAGCCCCACUUUCUAAGGUCAUGUAAGGACAGCAAGAUGGUGGCCACCUACAAGCCAAGAGAAGAGCCCCAGGAUGAAACCCAUCUUGCUCACACCUUGAUCUUGGACUUCCCAGCCCUCAGAACUGUGAGGAAAACAUUUCUGUUGUGCAUCAACCCAUGGGGGGCCCUUGCUGUGCCCAGGGUGCUCAGAGAGAAUUUACAACCAGUCCAGCCUCCAAGAGACUCGCAGGCUAGAGGGGAGACACUCACCUACAGCAAGCAAUGAGUGCAAUGUGAUCAUUGCACCUGGGAAGCUUGAAGGAAGAGUGCUCCAGACAGGGAACAGCACGGACAAAAGCCUGGAAGCAAGAGGCAAGGCUGAAAAGAGCAGGGCCAGGGAGAAGGCUGAGUGACAGGAGGAGGGCCAGGGUUCAGGUACAGAGGGGCGGAGCCCUCACCAAGGCCUUUGAACCUUAAACUGGGGCUGGGAGAGCCUGGGCGUGUCUCACAGCGCUCUGCAACUGUCCUUUUACUUGAAAGUCUCCCACCAUCCUGAGGACUCCCAUGGCUGGUGAACUCUGUGAACCCACUCCUGGCAGGAGCCCUGGCACCCCCCGAACACCACACUCUAGUGUCGAGCUGUCCCCACUGGAAUGCAGAUUGGG